rnacentral:lncRNA from 1 species
AUUAUCAUUGUGUAUGCACCAGAUACGGAUUUCUACAAUAAAAAUGUCUGCAAUAUUGAGGCUAUUACGUACGUCUAUAACCGCAUUAUAAGGAGUAUAUGUGCCGUCAAACGUGUGACCACAAAGACCGUUGUGAUUGCUACUGGAUAUGACAAUGGUAUCCUAUGACGAGUUAAGAAGACAACACAAUACAAUGUUACAAGC